UAGGGUGUAGUUUAAGUUAAAAUUUUUGAUUUCCAAUCAAAAGAUAAGAAUUCUUUACUCCAA
rnacentral:tRNA from 1 species